AUGUAAGAAUUUAAAGGUCGAACAGACCUAUAUAUUAAGCGGCUACACCUAACUAUUAUCUUAAUCCAACAUCGAGGUCGCAAGCCUCCCCGUAAAUGUGAACUCUGAAGGGAGAUUACGCUGUUAUCCCUAAGGUAACUUAAUCUAACAAUCAAUAUGAUUGGAUCUAUUAUUCAUAAAUCAAUGUUAUAUAAAUAAAAAAGUUAAUUAUAUAUUUUUGUCACCCCAACAAAAUAAACCAAAUAAUAAAUAAAUUUGAUUAAACAAAAAUUUAAAUAAAAUCAGGAUUAUAAAGCUCUAUAGGGUCUUCUCGUCUUCCAAAUAAAUUUCAGCAUUUUAACUGAAAAGUUAAAUUUUAAUUACAAAUUGAAUGAGACAGUUAACAAUUCGUCAAACCCUUCAUACCAGCCUCCUAUUAAAAGACUAAUGAUUAUGCUACCUUUGCACGGUCAAAAUACCGCGGCCGUUAAAAAUUUUUCACUGGGCAGGUCAGACCUCAUAUAUAAGCAAGAGGACAUGUUUUUGAUAAACAGGCGAUUGUUAUAUUUGCCGAGUUCCUUACUCAAUUAUAUCAAAUAAUAAUAUUUAAUACAAAAUUUUAUACUAAUUUAAUCAUUAUUACUAACUUUUUAUAGUUUAAAGUAAUAUUUUAAUAAAAUACUAAACUCAAGUAAAUCUAAUUAUAUUAAAAUGAACUACAACGAACUCAAUAAAUGAUAGCUGAUUUAAAGCCUACAUAAUUUAAUAAUAAUUAAAGUUAUAGAAAUAAAAUUAGAGCUUAUCCCCUAAUAUUUUAAUUUUAAAUUAUAAACAUUUUAUCAAUUUAAAUGUUUAAAAAUAAAAUCUAAAUUAAAUUUAAUUCUUAAAAAACU
rnacentral:rRNA from 1 species